UACGAAGGUCCCGAGCGUUGUUCGGAAUCACUGGGCGUAAAGGGAGCGUAGGCGGCAUGGUAAGUCAGAUGUGAAAUCCCGGGGCUCAACCCCGGAACUGCAUCCGAUACUGCCUUGCUUGAGGGUUGGAGAGGUAGCUGGAAUUAUCGGUGUAGCAGUGAAAUGCGUGGAUAUCGAUAGGAACACUCGUGGCGAAAGCGAGCUACUGGACAACAUCUGACGCUGAGGCUCGAAGGCUAGGGGAGCAAAAGGG
rnacentral:rRNA from 1 species